UAAGUGGUGACUAGAAUGAACUUGCAUGCAGCAACUAAAGAGGGGUGGGGCAUGUUAUCAUGUUCCAGAAGGGCUGCAUCAAUACUUGGCAGACAACAUAGAGUGUCUACAAUUAACAAAGGGCUGAUCAGGUACUUGACAGUUGAGUACGGUGUUAACAAUUUACGAUCUACAACAAGUCUGUGAGAAACUUGGAAGUGCCAGCCCAAAAUGGUUCGAACUGGGAUUAGCACUAGGUCUAUCUCAUCCUGAUCUCACCAAUAUAAAGGAGCAAAAUGGAGAUAAUCAGAUUUGUUUGCGCGAAAUGUUGGCCAAGCUCCUGGGUACACAACGUGUAACAUGGAGUCUCCUGUCGGGCAGUCUUAAAAAGACUACAGUGGGGCUUUAUAAUUUGGCUGAUACCAUUGCAGGACUAGACCGUGUUGAAGAAGAGACGCUAACUUCUUUUGGCAACUGCUUGUGAGGGUCCACCAGCCACAACUAGCCUAAGAAAAAAUGAUGGUGAAGCUCUAACUUCUAUCGAUGAGUUGAAAAGACACCUGCAGCGGGAGUCAUCGAAUAUGGAGAAAAAGUUUAAUUCACUAGUAAUUAGCUAGUUUGCAAAAAUCUUUGAAACAACAAAAACGAGAUGCCAGGGAAAUCACUGACUGUCUUUUAUAGGGAUUAAUUGCAAGAGGCAAGCCUUUGAUGGAGAAAAUCAAUGCGUGUUUUGUAAAAAACGAAAGCAAUUAGAAGAAUGCUUCACCACUGAUGAAAUAUGGCGCAUACUUCAAUACUACUUCUCUUUUUUCGACUUCUAUUUGGUUGAACUUAUUGCUAAACAUCUUGGAAAUGAAGACGACCAAAAAUGUAUGAAUAGAUACAAAAAGGAAUUUAGAGAAUACCUUAAGUGUCGCGUUUUCCCAUUGAAAAUCGUUCGCUCUCAUACAUGUACUCCCAGAGAUGAUAAUGAAGAAAUGGUUUUGAAACUUGACUCUUCUUUCGAUGACUGUACUCUCGCACAUGUAGAAGAGCUUAGAGAAGACGUUGCGAAGAUGCUCAAUCUUAAACCAUACGUUCUCCGCCACCAUGAAAUAAAGUCCGGAUGUAUUCAACUUGUGCUCUUAAUACCACAGUUUAUCUUCAACGACAUUUUUCCACUGCACUUUUGAUCAAAAAUUGGUAUUGCAGCGGUUGAAAGUAACCAGAUUGGAUUGUGGCACCUUUCACUUUGACCAAGAAAGAGAAAAUCAAAUCCAAAUCAA